GUCCCGUUCGUCUAGAGGCCUAGGACACCAGCCUUUCACGUUGGUAACACGGGUUCGAAUCCCGUACGGGACGCCA
rnacentral:tRNA from 5 species